GGUGAGAUGGCCGAGCGGUUAAGGCGCCAGACUAAGGCCGAUCGCCGAUCGAUCCUUCGAUCGAUCAUGACCAAAUCACUUUGUGAUUACGUAAUCUGGUCCGAAAGGGCGUGGGUUCGAGUCCCACUCUCAUCA
rnacentral:tRNA from 1 species